rnacentral:rRNA from 1 species
UACGUAGGGUGCAAGCGUUGUCCGGAAUUAUUGGGCGUAAAGAGCUUGUAGGCGGUUUGUCGCGUCUGCUGUGAAAAUCCGGGGCUCAACCCCGGACUUGCAGUGGGUACGGGCAGACUAGAGUGUGGUAGGGGAGACUGGAAUUCCUGGUGUAGCGGUGAAAUGCGCAGAUAUCAGGAGGAACACCGAUGGCGAAGGCAGGUCUCUGGGCAGUAACUGACGCUGAGGAGCGAAAGCGUGGGGAGCGAACAGG